AGGCUUUGUGGACCAAGGGGAUUAGCACUGCUUUCCAAGACAGGUUAUGUGAUUAUGAUCUUCAGGCUUUGCCUAUCCAGGUUGAGCAACUGAUGGAAUGGAAUGAUGUUGAGCGGGUGUUCCUUUGACAUUUCAAGAAAUGUAACCUUGAGUAUACAUCUUCAUAUGUAUAUCUCACACGUUUUCGCUGCAAAAUACGUUGAUUAGGAUAGCCCUAUGUUAUGAAGUUGGGAUACGUGUUAUUGGGUAACCCACCUUAAUCAGUUCUCAUUUAUGUGUAUGUUUUAUAAGUAUCCAAAUAAUCAUAUAUGAUCCUAGCAUUUUAUC